UGGGGAAUUUUGCACAAUGGGGGAAACCCUGAUGCAGCGACGCCGCGUGAUUUAGAAGGCCUUCGGGUUGUAAAAAUCUUUUUUACGGGAUGAAAAUGACAGUACCGUAAGAAUAAGGUCCGGCUAAAUACGUGCCAGCAGCCGCGGUAAUACGUAUGGACCGAGCGUUGUCCGGAAUCAUUGGGCGUAAAGGGUACGUAGGCGGCCUAGUAAGUUAGAAGUGAAAUAAUAUAGCUCAACUAUAUAAAGCUUUUAAAACUGCUAGGCUUGAGAGAUGGAAGGGAAGGUGGAAUUCCUAGUGUAGCGGUGAAAUGCGCAGAUAUUAGGAAGAAUACCGGUGGCGAAGGCGACUUUCUGGUCAUCAUCUGACGCUGAGGUACGAAAGCGUGGGUAGCAAACAGG
rnacentral:rRNA from 1 species